CAGCGCUGGCCAAGCAGCCAGGUGGGGGAAGGCGUCUCCAGCACUGACUCACCGCCAGCCUCCCCUGAGCAAUGGCCCGCAGGGUCCCGCAAGCACACCUGUCCGCAUGCUGGACUGCAAAGAGCUGAUUCUGAAAUCUUGCCAGGGAUGGAGCCUGAAACCUGGACAUUCAGAAAGCUGUGAUGGGGAGCCAAGAUCUGAGACCACUCAGCAUGCUGGGAAGUGUUCCGACUCAGCGUACAGUGCCAGUUGGGGAGCAGCAGCAGCUCUGCAGUUUGGGGAGCUUUACUUAAGUUCUCAUGCUGAGAUCUCAGCCAUUCCACCCAUUCCAGACUGGUGUAAGUUGUGUGUUUAGUCACGGAUGUCCCCCAACAGUUGUUCCAGACUAUUUACUAGUUGUUUCUGGCUAUUUACCAGUUACUCUAGAGGACUAACUAAAUUCCACACCUCUCUAUGCUGCCAUCUUGCCCUGCCCCCUCACUGUUCCUUUUUGCCUCUUCAGUCCUCUGGUACUAGUUAUAACA